rnacentral:rRNA from 1 species
CACGUAGGGCGCAAGCGUUGUCCGGAAUUAUUGGGCGUAAAGAGCUCGUAGGCGGUCUGUUGCGUCCGCUGUGAAAACUCGGGGCUUAACCCCGAGCCUGCAGUGGAUACGGGCAGACUAGAGGUAGGUAGGGGAGAAUGGAAUUCCCGGUGUAGCGGUGAAAUGCGCAGAUAUCGGGAGGAACACCGGUGGCGAAGGCGGUCUCCUGGCAAGUUACUGACGCUCAGGUGCGAAAGCUAGGGGAGCGAACAGG